GAUGAACGCUAGCUACAGGCUUAACACAUGCAAGUCGAGGGGAAACGACAUCGGAAGCUUGCUUUUGAUGGGCGUCGACCGGCGCACGGGUGAGUAACGCGUAUCCAACCUGCCCACCACUUGGGGAUAACCUUGCGAAAGUAAGACUAAUACCCAAUGACGUCUCUAGAAGACAUCUGAAAGGGAUUAAAGAUUUGUCGGUGAUGGAUGGGGGAUGCGUCUGAUUAGCUUGUUGGCGGGGUAACGGCCCACCAAGGCAACGAUCAGUAGGGGUUCUGAGAGGAAGGUCCCCCACAUUGGAACUGAGACACGGUCCAAACUCCUACGGGAGGCAGCAGUGAGGAAUAUUGGUCAAUGGGCGGAAGCCUGAACCAGCCAAGUAGCGUGCAGGACGACGGCCCUAUGGGUUGUAAACUGCUUUUAUGCGGGGAUAAAGUGGGCCACGCGUGGCCUUUUGCAGGUACCGCAUGAAUAAGGACCGGCUAAUUCCGUG
rnacentral:rRNA from 1 species